UUAAUAUCUACACUCACGGCAUUUACAGACGCAUUGUCCAUAAUCAAACAUUCUCUAUCGUGUGCUAUUCACGUUCCAAAACGCGUUCAAGUAAUUAACCAACGCAAACGUUAAUGGAAACAUAUAGAUAGUCGACUAUCCUAUCCAAGUAUACACGAGUCAAAGAGGUAGACCGGCUUUAAUAAUUCAGAAUACGGAAGCGAAAUCAAUCCUGGACAAAUACGUUCUCGUAGAGUGGACCUUUGGACACUCACUAGUGGAACAGCGCAAUAAAACCGAAAUAACGAUUAUUUGUAGGGGGAUUCGCGUAACAACGUAUACUAAAAAACGAACGGAACUCUACUCGAACUCCUCUCUAGAAAUACGAUUCACUUCCUCUUCCCUUUUUCUUUGCUGACUAUCCGUCAAACGUUCGAAGACAAAUGACUUGGUCGACAAAUGUUUCGUCCAAGAAUGUAACACAAAGAACAUAUAAGAUUUUUGUCGAUGAGAUUUAUAAUUUGAUUGCGGUGGAAGGAAUUCUCGAGUACUAUUUAAUCAUAGUAA
rnacentral:misc_RNA from 1 species